rnacentral:misc_RNA from 1 species
GGAUUUACUGAUUCGAUCUACUGUUUAUUUCACUGAAUUCUCUUUGGAAUUCACUUCAAUCUGUUUCCAAUAAUGUCACUUCUGUCUGAUUUGAUUUGGUUUCGCUCUCUGUUUGGUUGCUGCUGUGGAAUUUCAUUGCUUUUUUUUUUUCUUCUCUUUUUUUAGAAAGGAAAGUCAAACUGGGAAUUCGGUAUUGGAUUGCUAUAAUUUUCUGUGCAAAGAAUGGCGCUUUUGGGAAA